GAUAGUUUUCAGUUGGUAAUACAAGUUAGGAUAGAAAUGAAUUCGGUACAUUUUGGACUCCCCAAAACAGGAUAGAUAAUGGAAUAUUUUCACUGAAUUUGUCAAAUGCAAAUGGACUAGACA